rnacentral:lncRNA from 1 species
GGUUUUUUUUAUUAAUUCCUAUUAAUUUCUGCUAUUGUUUAAAGAUUUUACUGACCAAAAUGUAUGAAAAGUGUUCAUUGCCUGGUGGGAGGGGGUGGUCAAGUAGGACACUGCUUUGGGCCUUCAAAUGUUGAGAAAUGGGCAUGACCAUGUCACAAACGCGGGUUUGAGACACACCACUCCAACGGGGUCACUGUUACGACACAGUUUGUGUCGAGUUAGACGCCAGCUCGUCGUCGAGAGCUCCACUGGAAGAUCCCCUUUUUCAGUGUUCUCGCCGACACGUGUCAGGUACACAGCGGCUCGCCCUGCUCAUCCCCACUCAUACGUGCACAUGCCUGCACGCUCCGACCCUGAAGCAGUCGGUGACACAGCACUCGCAUUCUUUUGCACUCUGACAAACACGCGGUGCUCCCCGCGCUCCCUCCUCUCCCUCCCGCCGGCCCGCCUCUCGCUCCAACUCCCUCUCCUCUUCCCCACGUUUGCACACGCGCAAAAAGCUUUGCACGGACACACAGCGCGCAGCAAAAGAUGUCCGAUUCGGAGAGCUCAGCCGCUGCCCCGACCGAGACCCCGGUCCCUGCUGCCUGUCAGGCCAUCAAGGCAGAUCUGGAUAAAUGCAUAAAGGAGAAUGGGGAGGAAGCAUGCAAAGAGCUGAUGGAGGCCUUCCAGGCCUGUCUGAAGACUGCGGGUGAAGCAUCCUGACGAGGAAGGACACCACCUUGGAGAUGUAAGUUUCCACUUUAGAUGGACCCUCUUUAAAGGAUGCAGCAACUGAAAUGCAGAUACAAAACAGGGCACCCAAAGAUGGUCACUAUAUACAGUCUAAAUAUCACUUCUCACACAUGUGAUACUGGGAUUUUUCAGAUGCAUGUCUCUAAAACACAGCAAGUUCAGGCUCCAGGUAGAAAGUAAAUCAAUGGUUCAGGAACCUAUGACUACGACUUCGAUGAAGUGAUGCGGGUGUUCCUGAGGGUUGCGAGAUUGUCUCAAAAAAAAUAUUACAGUAUUAUAAGGGGAUGACUCCACUGGCACAAUAUGAAGGAUUACCAAAGUAGUAAUUAAAGUAAAAAGGAAUAACUUUGGGUAAUAUAGCAUCUAUAUGCGCUUAAUAUUAUAAUGUUCAAGUUCGUUCAGUGCGGAGCCUAUUGUUGAGCAGCGUUCUUAUAGGAGAGCGAUGUUAUAGAUGAGUCUAUAAUUUUAGCAAACGGCGGAGCUCACCCACAAAAUUAAACAGUACCGUGGUAAACCCAGAAAGUCCCUGAUUGCGAGACAGUCAUUUUCAUGUAAAUUUUUUUCAUCCUGUUCAGUUCAAAACUCUUUUAAAAUCAUUAUGCGUUGGUAACAAUUCGAUUAAACUGAAUGGAUAAACACAGCGUAUGGAAGUGAUCGGUCAGUGAUACUGCAUGGAGCAGCAUUUCAGGUCACCAGGUCAGGAUAAAGCUGUACUCUGGGUCACCACCAAAACAGUUUGGGAACCACUGGCUACAUCUGAUGUGAGCAGUAAACAUAUAUUUAACUGAUCUGUCUCGUGGUUCUCAGUGAUCCAGGUUCACAAUUGAUGGACUAGGCAAUGUGAGAGUGACUUCAGUCUGACACUUCUCUCUUUCUCCAAGGUCCUCUGCUCCCUCAGCAUUCCCUUCUGCACACUGCACUGCACUGGAAUAAAUCACUUUUGGGACUGGGAAAGUGGGACCUA